CUUCCUCUGCCCCUUCUCUCAGAAGCCUCUGGAGCAGACGGGGGCCGCCGUGGUGGCCCCUCCCGCCUGGGCCUGUGCAUUUCAAAGCACUGCCUGGUGGAGAAGCUGUUGCUGGACUCCUGUGCUGACCCCACUCCAGCAGGCAUGUGAUGAAUAUUUCAUAGUCCAGAUGUAAUCCUGCCUGCAUUUUCCUCCUCUGCCUCUGGCCAGCACCUCUCUCCUCCCGGUCUUCCAUUUCCACCCAAGCCCGAGUCCCCAACCCAGUCCCAGUCGGGAAAAAUCAGUCACGACGUUUAUCAGGAAUCGGUAUGAACCAGCCAAGCGCUGUGAAGAGCUAAUCUGUUCAGAGCUAAUAAGAGCGAACAAAGUCGCCACAGAGUCCGCCAUGGGCAUCGCUGAUAAGAAUUUGUCAGAAGAAUUGCAGCUCUGUCUCCUCUACACUUAGCCUUGGAGGUGACCUAACUCAGGGAAAGUGUUUCCCCAUGGACAUGGAGGCCCUGUGGGCAUGCAGUAGGUGUGAAGGUACCCUAACCUCCUGUCCUGAGAAGGAAAGCUGCCCUGUCCAGCAGGACUCCUGACCAAGAAGUAUAAUGUCCGGGACCCCUGGGACUGGAAUGCCCCAGGAGAAGGUACAAAGGCUACAACAGAUGUAAUCUAAAGGACCAGACAAGGGUCAGAAUAAAAAGUGACAAACCAAAGGCCCAUUGACCUUACCAUCUCAGAAGUUUGUGAGGAUAAAGCCAACAGGAGGAAGUAAACAGAAGAAGAGACGGCUGGGCGAGCUGGUGAACACCUUUAAUCCCAGUACUCAGGAGGCAGAGACAGGCUGAUCUCUGUGAGUUCAAAGCCAGCCUGGUUUAUAUAGAGAGUUCCAGGUCAGCGAGGCUUCAUAGUGAAACUCCAUCUCAACAAAACAAAACAGAACAGAACAAAACAAAACAAAACACAGAAAAAGAAAAGA
rnacentral:sRNA from 1 species